rnacentral:tRNA from 1 species
ACGGAUUUAUUUCAAUGGCAGAAUGUUGGUCUCCAAAACCGACGGUGCAGGUUCAACCCCUGCAAUCCGUG